UGGGGAAUUUUGGACAAUGGGGGAAACCCUGAUCCAGCCAUCCCGCGUGUGCGAUGAAGGCCUUCGGGUUGUAAAGCACUUUUUGGCAGGAAAGAAACGUCGCGGGUUAAUACCCCGCGAAACUGACGGUACCUGCAGAAUAAGCACCGGCUAACUACGUGCCAGCAGCCGCGGUAAUACGUAGGGUGCAAGCGUUAAUCGGAAUUACUGGGCGUAAAGCGUGCGCAGGCGGUUCGGAAAGAAGGAUGUGAAAUCCCAGAGCUUAACUUUGGAACUGCAUUUUUAACUACCGGGCUAGAGUGUGUCAGAGGGAGGUGGAAUUCCGCGUGUAGCAGUGAAAUGCGUAGAUAUGCGGAGGAACACCGAUGGCGAAGGCAGCCUCCUGGGAUAACACUGACGCUCAUGCACGAAAGCGUGGGGAGCAAACAGGAUUAGAUACCCUGGUAGUCCACGCCCUAAACGAUGUCAACUAGCUGUUGGGGGCCUUUCGGGCCUUGGUAGCGCAGCUAACGCGUGAAGUUGACCGCCUGGGGAGUACGGUCGCAAGAUU
rnacentral:rRNA from 1 species